AGUAGGCUGAUUCCUUUUCUUAAUGGGAGCCCAGACAUAUUUUAAGUAGAAUGAACUGCGAUGGUUAUUUGAUUGGGUCCAAUUUCUUUUAUUGGGUUGCCUUAUGUUGCUCCCAAUUAAUCAUUAGGCUGCCUUAUUAUUUAUUUAGCCCGAUUAAAGACUAGUCUAGAUUAAUCUAUUAAUUGGAUUUAGCUAGUUCUAAUUAUGGAUUAAUUUAGAAUGUGGAUUAUUAAUUAGUAAGUGGGUUAACAUACCCAAAGAUGAGUGGAUUAAUUAAGAUUAAUACUCCAG
rnacentral:lncRNA from 1 species